UCCAGGCGUUAACCAGGUUUACAACCAACUAAUUGCUAGUUGCAGCUAGCAAGAAGCCUGCUUCUGCACGAGAGUUCAAAAGUUCUUUCAGAUAUUUGCUGUCACCAUCUGUCAUACAAGCAGUAAAUAACUGUCAGCGUUUAUAAUCAGUUAUUCUUCACAUGCCACAUCCUCACUGAAGUAUCUCGGGAGCUCAAUGAACCAUUUGACUGACAAGGUUUGAAAGAUUUUUGUAUGUGUUAGUGUAAUUGUAAGAAAUAUACACUCAAGAAGUGAUCUGUAGUCAACACUUCAUGUUAUAGAAACUUAACAUUUUUAACUGUUGUCUGCCUUUAAAGUGAACUAAAGGUGGUUUUGAAGGUUAAUGUGUGAUAAAGUUGCCAGCUGGAUUUGUACAUCCAGCAUCAGCCAGUGAAGAAAAUUAGCAGUGAAAUUUAAGAUAACCCUGACUUAAAAUACUUGGCUUUGGUCAAUACUUGCGGGAACUUUAAGAAACAGAAUCACCAGUAUAUUGUUUCCUAUUUGUUUCUUGUGCUAUCAUCAAUAAAGUGCUUGCAUGUAGAAAAAUUAA